rnacentral:lncRNA from 1 species
GAAUCCCGAAGGAGAGAAUUUUUAUUUUUUUUUUAGAGAUAGAUAGCACGCUAUCCGUUUCGUUUAUUUUAUUUAGAAAUAAACUUAGCUGAAAAAGUGAAUCAACUAAGAUUCGAAUUUAGGUCUCGGGGACCAACCACCGAGCCUUUUGCCACUUGCUCUAGAGACGGCCAGUCCCGAAGGAGAGAAUUUGAUCGCUAUAGGGAGAAAUCUUAGAGAGAGCGAGGAAUUAGAAUGUAUAGAAUAGAAAAAUAGAUUAAGUAAAAAAGGAUAAAAAUAUAAUUUUUCCGCUAUUUAAAUCUAGGUUUAAUUCAAGAUGAACUAACAGUUAGUAAAUGUGAGGACAGAUUUGAAUAACGGAUAAAUCUUAUAGGAAUAUUUUUUGAAUUGUUUUUUUUAGAAAUGUAUAAGAUAUUUCUC